GCAAUCCUACGGGGGGCAGCAGUGGGGAAUAUUGCACAAUGGGGGAAACCCUGAUGCAGCGACGCCGCGUGAGUGAAGAAGUAUUUCGGUAUGUAAAGCUCUAUCAGCAGGGAAGAAAAAAGACGGUACCUGACUAAGAAGCCCCGGCUAACUACGUGCCAGCAGCCGCGGUAAUACGUAGGGGGCAAGCGUUAUCCGGAUUUACUGGGUGUAAAGGGAGCGUAGACGGUAU
rnacentral:rRNA from 1 species